rnacentral:rRNA from 1 species
CCCUUGGAUGUUCUGGGCCGCACGCGUGCUACACUGAGUGGAUCAGCGGGUCAGGUUGCGCGAAAGUGUUUCCUAAUCUUGAAAUCCGCUCGUGAUGGGGAUUGACGGUUGCAAUUUUCCGUCAUGAACGAGGAAUACCUUGUAAGCGCGGGUCAUCAUCCCGCGCUGAAUACGUCCCUGCCCUUUGUACACACCGCCCGUCGCUCCUACCGAUUGAGUGGUCCGGUGAGGCUUUGGGAUCUGAGCAAAAAGAGCGUUUCGCUCGUUUGGCUCGGAAAACUCAGUCGAACCUUAUCAUUUAGAGGAAGGAGAAGUCGUAACA